GACAGAGGAUGCAAGCGUUAUCCGGAAUGAUUGGGCGUAAAGCGUCUGUAGGUGGCUUUUUAAGUCUGCCGUCAAAUCCCAGGGCUUAACCCUGGACAGGCGGUGGAAACUACCAAGCUGGAGUACGGUAGGGGCAGGGGGAAUUUCCGGUGGAGCGGUGAAAUGCGUAGAGAUCGGAAGGAACGCCUGCGGCGAAAGCGAGGUCCUGGACUCUAACUGACGUUGAGGCGCGAAAGCCAGGGGAGCGAGCGGG
rnacentral:rRNA from 1 species